ACUCAAAGGAAUAGACGGGGGCCCGCACAAGCAGUGGAGUAUGUGGUUUAAUUCGAAGCAACGCGAAGAACCUUACCAGGACUUGACAUGCAGGUGAAGAUAUGAGAGAUUAUAUUGUCCCUAGGGACAUCUGUGCAGGUGGUGCAUGGUUGUCGUCAGCUCGUGUCGUGAGAUGUUGGGUUAAGUCCCGCAACGAGCGCAACCCUUAUUGUUAGUUGCCAGCACGUGAAGGUGGGAACUCUAGCAAGACUGCCGUUGAUAAAACGGAGGAAGGUGGGGACGACGUCAAAUCAUCAUGCCCUAUAUGUCCUGGGCUACACACGUACUACAAUGGCUGUUACAAAGAGAAGCGAGUCAGUGAUGAUGAGCGAAACUAGAAAAGCAGUCUCAGUUCGGAUUGAAGGCUGAAAUUCGCCUUUAUGAAGCCGGAAUUGCUAGUAAUUGCAGGUCAGCAUACUGCAGUGAAUACGUUCCCGGGCCUUGUACACACCGCCCGU
rnacentral:rRNA from 1 species